UGGGAGAGAGGAGGGGUGCAGCUCAUCCACGCAGCGGCUAAACGCUUCCUGGUCAGCGGGUUUUGAGCUUGGCACCGCGCUGACUCUGCGGACUUAUCGCCCCCGAACGCGUUUGAGUUUAGCGCCGACGGGAAAGUGUCAAGCAGCAGAAAAAAAACGGGACGAGGAUCAACUCAAAAAAACCCUGAGUCACUCCAGCUUUGACCCUCGUCUUGACUGAUUUACCAAAAAGAUCAAAGAACCCACAGGUCAAAACAGAUUCAUGCUACCGAUGUGUGACCACAGGCGGACAAAAACGUCAUCCCCCAAACCUGACCUUUCACAGGGAGGAGAGCGUGAGCUGUGCACGGCACGGAGACGGGAGCGAUAGCUUUUUAAUGUAAUGGCUUGUAAUGGAGCUACCAAUGAGUAACUAAUGACUCAUUGUGGUCUAUGAAUGGUCUGUGAAAACACCCCUGAGAUCGCUGGAGGUGACACACACUAUACUUGGUGCAUUACAAGAGCAAAAAUGCAGGUUGUUUGUAAUGGAUCAUUACUGCAGUAAUGCCACCAGAUAAUGGAACAGCUAUCAUCACUCGCAACACCUGUAGACAGACAGACAGACAGAUACGCAUACACACACACACACACACACACACACACACACACACACACACACACACACACACACACACACACACACACUUACAUCUUGAAGUAAUUGGCCCGUUUUAGUGAAGCCACUGGAUAAUGGCCUGUGCUGCCACCAGGGGAAGCCACUUGCUAUGAGUCUGCUCUCUGCUGGACAGAUCCGCUAAACGUGUGCAGGGCUAACAGCGGCUUUAUCUCCUCUCUCCCUUUUUCCUCCUUUUUUUAUUUUCUAAAUAUAGCCAGACGCAUUUAUAAAUGUCAGCGUGGCCCUUUAUCUUACCAACGGGCCUGGAACAAGUCAGAGAAAGACAAAGUCAAGGCCUUUUUCUCUUCCCAUGUCAGUUAUGGAUUCCUGGAACUACACUGAAAGUGUUUUUUCUUCAGGGGGAACAUUAUUUUGAGGAGUCCUAUGAUGAUGUUGAUUUUAAAUGACAAAAUGAACUAUCGCCCCCCGUAAAUUGUAAUCCAGACAUACAUGAUAUAUUAUCCGACAUCUGCUCUGCAAGUUUUGUUUUCUAUUGCAUAAAAUGCUGUGCGUCUAAUUUCAUGUGAUAUUUAGUGGUGCAGAGAUUACUCCAACUCCAUCGCGUUCUCGACCCCCCUCUGGGCUGAAUGUCUCUUCUGCAGAUUGUUGAAGUGGUAUUAGUAAUAUAAUACUGGAAUAAAAGCACAGUGACUGUUUUUGAUAGACUGUUUUUGAAAAAAAAAGGGUUUUGCUGCAGCUGCUUUAGACAAAAACAUAUUCAACUGUAAAAACCUUCAACUCAGUCGUUCAAGAGCAAGGAAGCGAAGUCUGGGGGAGGAUCACGAUUUAUACAGUUGUGUUGGAAAAUUCUGCUCCAUUGCAUUAAUAAGUUGAUAAACUCUGGUAACAAGUCAUCAGCUUACUCCUGGUUAUUUUAUUGUUCUGGCACUAUAAACUCGAAAACCUGGAGUAUAUUGACAUGGAGGAGAAUCAAAAAUGAGGAGAAUGGUGGGAAAAAGGCUAUUGUUGAACGAGCCACCGCUUUCAACUGUCCCCCCUCGACUCUGGGCCGCAGCGAUGUUUCCAGCUGAGGCCAUUACUGUAUAAUCUGAAGGCGUUUUACAUUCACAUUAAACAAUACAAGUUGGAACCGUUUUUUAUUAAUGGCCUUAGUUGGCAGAGGGGCAGCGAACAGCUGGAAGGUUUUAAAAACGGGCAUUUAACAAAACACAGUCUCAUACACUUUCCUGAUUCUCUCCAAGGCUUCCAGGAGUCUGCUGUUAAAAAUGUGCUGGGAUGUCAGGAUGUCAGUGUUUUGUUACAAAAUCCACUGGAAACAAUUGCUAUCCCUAAUUACAAGCAGUUUAAUAUCGAUUAUUAUUAUUAUUAUUUUUAGUGUAGACCAGUGCAUUGGACACAAGCGUGAUGAUUCUUCUCAUGCAGAGCUUUGAUUCAAAGGUGUCGCUUUCUGCAGGAUUUACCCCCGUGAUGCACGAGCUUCGCAUCCUGCAUCUGCAAGCUGUUUAACCCGCUUCACUGACGGCGCCGCCAGUAAAUGUACACUUCAUUCUACACAUUAUAGGCUUUUCUCAGGGCCAAAAAAGUAUAAGGGCCCAACAGCACCACGCGCCGCGGGGGAGCAGGUUUAUAAGGGUUAAUUUUGUCUGCUAAUGGCCCCAUGUGAUGCAGAUUAUGUGGAGGAAGUGGUGUUUCUGGGCAGAAGACCACCGGUGGUAGACCACCACCCAGGAUGACACUGCUUUAAUUCCCUCUGCGCGAUGGGGCUUUAUUCACCACUCGCUUCACACAAUAGCGACGAGGUCCUGGUGGUAAAUUUCCAUUUUAUGAUUUCAUCAAUACAGACACACUCUCCUGGCAAAUUAACUGUCCUGCAGGGUUGUGUCAUCGCUGCCUUGGCUGAUAUUACUUUUAAAUGACUUGUUAUUAUGGGACUAAGGACCGUUCCCCGGUCCUCCACCCAAUCCUUUCGCUGUCUGCUCUACUCUAUCUGCAACAAUUCGCCGCGCUGGCCCAGUGCUUCAAGUUGUCAUUAUUUAAAAAUUACAAUAAAUGAGAAAGCUCCAGAACUUAAUUAACUAGGAAUAGUUGAAAUUCACAUCAGGCCUCCACAGACGCGACACAGUAAAGAUUUUGGAACAUUUUUC